UUAUUCUUUCAUUCUCUCUCAGGACACACACACGCACACACACCCCUUCCCUACUUAUUCUUUCAUUCUCUCUCAGGACACACACACACACACACACACACACACACCCCUUCCCUACUUAUUCUUUCAUUCUCUCUCAGGACACACACACACACACACACACACACACACACACACACACCCCUUCCCUACUGAAUAGGAUCCCACUGCUAUAGGAACAAUGUCUUACUCUCUCUGGUAUCAUUUUUAGUUUGCAUAGGACAUACCCAGCAUGCUUGUUUAAAACAUAAAGGGCUCUGGGCCUUUGGCAGUUUGAUGCAACUGUCCCAAGCAAGCCUAGAAAUCCGCAUUGUAAGAGCUCCCAGUUUUUUCUGAUGCUAGGAGUUGACAGCACAUUUUGCAAAAUAUGCUAGGGUGUUCUAUAUAGAAGGCAUGCUAUAAACAUAUGUUGCCUUCUUAACAUAAAGGAACUAACAUUCUUUGUGCCUAUUUACAAACAAGAAAAUAGACUCUACUUAGAAAUGAAACUCAACUAAAGGUAAAAGUUGUCAGGAACAUCUCCAAGAAAGCCAGAGUCAGCCUCUAAACUUUGCAUCAAGAACGCAAUGGCUUCCCUGAGGGCCCAGGGACGCGUGGCAGCUGUGAGGCAGCCCCUUCUCUGCUGUCGAGGAACUGGACACUUCUCCUGUCCCUUCCCACAAGGGGCUUCCUGGAGCUCCUGCAACCCCAGGCAUUAGUUCCGGUGCAGUUCUAGGAUCAGAUCAAUUCACUCGACAACAAGAGAAACAAAUGGAGAUUCCUACACAAAGACUUUCAAGCACAAAGAAAUCCUGCUGCCUGUAAAGCGGAGCUGCCUCAGCCCUUGAUGAACGACAGAAAAUCUCACAUUCCAGGAAUUCAGAUGAAGUGAAGUGCUCUCAUGGGGACCAGGCAUGGUUAUGCCAGUCCACUGCCCUGCAAGCCUCAAGGGAAGCCAACUGCCCUUCAGCAAGUCACACCUGCCUUGGUGGAGGCCUUGAUUGGAAGUGCCACACGCUACAUGUCCAGUCCUGAGCGGGAGAAUCGGUGUAGGGACGUUCUGGGGAUGCCAGCUGUGGCCAGAUCAGGUCCAACUACAGAAGAAUAAUGAAGACUCCACCUGAGGGCUGGAAAAACAAAACCUCAAGUGUGAGGCAGCCAACCUGUUACCUCGAGGGACUGUUCCGCAGCACAGCGGGGCCAUGGGAACAGCAGCAGACACCCCGACCUCCUCGCUACCUAUCAACUAUGGCCUGAGUAUGAUAGACUUAUCCAUGGUUUAAACAGAAUAUAUUGUUUUCAACUUUGAAAAUAAGAAUAUGGAAAUCCAGAUGCAGAAAUGUGAGAAGAAAAGAGAGUAAACAGAGUGGAAGGUCAGGUGACCUUGCCUGUCAUGAAUAUGAAGGUCAAGGUGUGUGAAUUGUGAAAUUUCCAAGAGAACCUCACUGAAGCAAAGAAUGAAGAAAGAAUUGCAUUUGGCCCUGGGAGGGUGCAGGGGUGAAUGGUGCAGGAGCUAAAUCUUUAUCAUACCCAGAAAUCAACAGCCACUAUUUGAAAUCAUCUAAAUUCGUGCUGCUAACCUUCAGUGUACACACGAAUCACCUGGGGAUCUUACUAAAAGCUAGUUUCUGAUUCACUAAAUCUGUGUGUGGUGGAAGUUGAGGGCAGAGAAGCUCCCGAGGGUGUCAAGCUGACUCUGAACCCGACUUUGAGGGUUAAGGUCCCAAAUGGCAUCGCCAGCACCAGGGACAGACACUAAAAUUGUAGAAAUCGUCUCAAGAAAUGAACAGCCUCUAAGUCAGAUGUUGAAUGUGAAAGAAAUCAGGGUGUGUACGUGUGUGUGCAUUUGUGUGUGCACGUGUGUGCCUGUGUUUGUCUCUGUGCAUGUAUGUUUCUAUGUGUGCACAUGUGUGUAUGUGUCUGUACAUGUGUGUUUCUGUGUGUGUGCCUGUGUGUGUAUUGGCUUAGAUCUGUUCGAGACUUUUUAUUUGAUGAGAUCGAUAUAUGCCACCACUUUUGGAAAGGACAACGUAUAUACAAAGACAAUGAUUACUUAUGUAAUGUGAACGGAGUCUCUCUUCGACCCUCAAAUGUUUUGUAGAAAGUAAUGAUGAUGGUGAGGAUUAUAACAAUGCGUGUUUCCUGAAUAACAAAAAGGAGUUACAGUACACUUUUACCUAUUUUUCCAAAGCGCUAGGUCAAGUUUAGCUAAAGUCUGCUUGGAAUUAAUGAGGCUUGG
rnacentral:lncRNA from 1 species